GUCCCAGACUCCUACGGGAGGCAGCAGUGGGGAAUAUUGGACAAUGGGGGGAACCCUGAUCCAGCGACGCCGCGUGGGUGAAGGAGCACCUCGGUGCGUAAAACCCUAUCGGCAGGGAAGAAACAGACGGUACCUGACUAAGAAGCCCCGGCUAACUACGCGCCAGCAGCCGCGGGAAUACGUAGGGGGCAAGCGUUAUCCGGAUUCACUGGGUGCAAAGGGAGCGUAGAUGGGGCCGCAAGUCUGGAGUGAAAGCCCGGGGCCCAACCCCGGGACUGCUCUGGAAACUGCGUCGCUGGAGUACGGGAGGGGCAGGCGGAAUUCCUGGUGUAGCGGUGAAAUGCGUAGAUAUCAGGAGGAACACCGGUGGCGAAGGCGGCCUGCUGGACUGCAACUGACGUUGAGGCCCGAAAGCGUGGGGAGCAAACAGGAUUAGAUACCCUAGUAC
rnacentral:rRNA from 1 species